rnacentral:rRNA from 1 species
ACUCCUACGGGAGGCAGCAGUGGGGAAUAUUGCACAAUGGGCGCAAGCCUGAUGCAGCCAUGCCGCGUGUGUGAAGAAGGCCUUCGGGUUGUAAAGCACUUUCAGUCGUGAGGAAGGUAGUGUAGUUAAUAGCUGCAUUAUUUGACGUUAGCGACAGAAGAAGCACCGGCUAACUCCGUGCCAGCAGCCGCGGUAAUACGGAGGGUGCGAGCGUUAAUCGGAAUUACUGGGCGUAAAGCGCAUGCAGGUGGUUUGUUAAGUCAGAUGUGAAAGCCCGGGGCUCAACCUCGGAAUUGCAUUUGAAACUGGCAGACUAGAGUACUGGUAGAGGGGGGUAGAAUUUCAGGUGUAGCGGUGAAAUGCGUAGAGAUCUGAAGGAAUACCGGUGGCGAAGGCGGCCCCUGGACAGAUAUUGACACUCAGAUGCGAAAGCGUGGGGAGCAAACAGGAUUAGAUACCCUGGUAGAUAGCG